AACUCUGAUCCAACAACCCUGUCAAGUGGCCACGACAGCUCUGUUUGCAUAUCUCCAGUCACAGGGAACUUACUACCGAUGAUGGAGUACACACACUAUUUUGGAUCACUUUAAUGCCUUGCUGAUGACAUUAUUAAGGUGUGGGUGGCACCUUACACCCCUAUAGGAAUAUAGGAAAGUACCUGCAACUCUUGAAGAGUUGGUAAAAAAAAAUACAAGGUCAAGGAAUUGGUAAGCAAGCCGAUACAACCUGCUGGGAUACAGCACAGCUGGUGUCAGAAGCCUCAGCUGGAAGCUCAACACAUCAAUGGAGAGUUAGGGGAAAAUCUAUAGACCCAACUUCUUCCGAACUACAAAGCUGAGAGCCAAAUCGCUUCUGUCAGGAGCCAAGCGCUCAUCAACGCGGAGAGGGGAAAGAAAGAAAAUCCGCAUCAGCAACUCUUAAUGUGAAAGUUUUCUUCCCAGACGACGAAGAGACACAGCAGCUGCAGAGUUGAAGCUACCAAAAUGGAAGCUUUUGACUACGACUUUCAACACCGCGCUUCUGAGAAGUUACCAGGGAGGACAGAGGCAUCUCCAUGAGACAGCUUCCGGGGAUGGGAGAGCUAUUCAUUACUCUGGAACUUUGAAAAUGUAGAAUAAAAGAAUAAAGUAGAGAACAAAGGAAACAGUGGUGAGGAGUCACAGACGGUCUUUAGUGUACCUGUGUGAAAUUGUUCCCUAGUCAUCUCUGUGCUAUGUCAAGUUUGCCUUCUCUGCGCCCCACCAGUACCCACACUGAUGUCUCUUUGGAGCCUUCUUUCUGCCCCCCACAUGGCCGCUUGUUGAGGACACCCCUCCUUCACAAACAGCCAAGUGUGGGCUCCUCAGGCAGCCUCCCCACCUUCUCCAGCACUCACAACCUACCCGUCUAAGCCCCCAAAAGACCAGCAGUGAUUUGUCUCAGGACGGUAAAGACCUGGCUGGUGACCACAUCCAGAGACAAGACAGAGAUAGGAGGGACCCAGAGCCAAGCUGUGCCAAGCCGUGCAGCUGAGCAUCUGUGAGGAUGAGCCAAGGGGCUGACCACUGCAAAUGGUUUCUUCACGAUGUCAUGGCCAGGCAGCUGGUGGCAACAGAGAGCCUCUGACAGCUUACUUAGUCAUCAUAAUGACCAACACUGUAUAUCAUCAUCCCCAUUCUACAGAUGAGAAAACUGAAACAGAGACAAGUUAAGUACCUUGCCAUUGGGCUCACAGAUGGCAAGUGGCAGAUUUGGACCGCACUGCAUUCUAAUCAACAUCCCUGCCAUGCACAGACGUCAUCCUCACCACAGCCAGCAUGCCUCCUUCUCCACCUCUGCCAGGACCUUCACCACCACUACCAGUGUAAAAGUAUUGACUGAGCCUUCUGUUUGCUGGGCGCUUUGCGGAGUGCUCUGCAGAUUGUCUCAUGCCGUAUUCACAACAACCCUAUGUUACUGAUCCUGUUAUUACCUCUACUUCACAAAUGUGGAAACUAAGCUUCAGAGAAGCGAAGAAAUCUGUCCCUGCACCUGGUCAGAGGUCCGCAAGAUUCGUGAUGUGUUUAAGAUCCACAGCCAGUUUUGCCUGACACCUGUGAGAAUGCAUUUAACUCCUGCGCUCCCUUUUCAGGAGAUGGCAGGUGGAGGCAUUGCCCACCGGGCAUUUCGUCAAACUGGCUCCCUGCUCCUCACCCACCAUAUUGGAAGUUCGUUGCUAGGAUGUGAGGACCACCCCGUGGAGCUGGGAUACGACUUUGCAUGUGGUAACUCUGCUACCAAACAAUGUGUAAGACCAACUGCUGAGAUUCUGAGCUCUGGCCAAGUAACAUCCGGGAGCUUUGGCCUGACAUCUGCUGAAGCUGGCCUGUAAUUCUCUUUGGUGAAGCCCCAUGCACCCCAGGUCAGUCUCUUCUGAGACAUCACCAUCCUCACCAAAGCCCUCAGAUGUCCCCUCCAGUGUGUUCCAUUUGUUCUCCUUUGACUGAACACCAGCUCUGGGGGAAUGAAGGGGUGUCACAAAGAAUAUCAGGCUUGUUUUUCAAAACUUUCACUCCUGUCCAUCUCUUCUGUCAACUCUCAGACCAGGUGACCGUCAUCACGUACCGGAAUUAUUACUGUGGCCUCCUACCUGCUUUCAAUCUUGUCCCCCUCUAAUCUAUUCUCCACAGAGCAGCCACACUGGUGUUUUCAAAGGCUAAGCUCAAUCAUAUCUGUCCUCUGCUUAGAGUUCUUAGUGUUAUUUCUCCUCCCUUUUAAUUUCUUUUGGAGUAAAAUCCAACCUUCCCCCCAUCAGUGCUUCUAAGCCCCUGUGGUUUCUUUCUGGCCCCUCUCUGCCUCUUUCCCUUCUCCCAUGGUGCUCCAGGUUCGCUGGCCUCUGCUCAGGUCACUGAGAACACCGAGCCGUGGUACGGCCGGCAUACAUACCCUCCGCCUCAGUAUGCCCGCUCUCUGCCACUCCAACCCCUGCCUCUUCCCAGCUUCCUCAUCUCAGCUUUAAUGUCACUUCCUCACAGACAGUCCUCUUCAUCCUUGAAUGCAACCCCCACUAUUUUCUGCGGACCCAACUUUUUUUUUUUUUCUUUCAGAGCACUUACCACAACUUGCGAUACAAAUUUGUAUGGGGAUUGCCUGCUUAUUACCUGCCUUCCCUAGAAACCUGUAAGCUCCAUGAAGGAAAAUGAAGUUGGUUUCCUUGUCUCUGUACCCUCAGUGACUAACUCAAUUUCUGAGGCAGGAGCAGAGGCUAAAUAAAUAUUUGUUGAAUGAA